rnacentral:rRNA from 1 species
CACGUAGGGUGCGAGCGUGUCCGGAAUUAUUGGGCGUAAAGAGCUCGUAGGCGGUGUGUCGCGUCGGCCGUGAAAACCUGCAGCUUAACUGUGGGCUUGCGGUCGGAGUACGGCAUCACUGGAGUUCGGGCAGGGGAGACUGGAAUUCCUGGUGUAGCGGUGGAAAUGCGCAGAUAGUCAGGAGGAACACCGGUGGCGAAGGCGGCAUCCUGGACCGACAC